GCGCCUGCAGCUCGCCACCCUCGAGGCUGGGACCGGGGCGGCGGCGGGCCCCGAGUGAGCCGGAGACGAACCCACGGCCCCAUCCGUCAGGACCUGACCCAGACGUGCAGCUGCCGCAGCCUUCCCUGGCCGCCCUCCCUGCCCCCCAUAAACGGCUCCGCUCACCA